rfam:Caprimulgus carolinensis contig110929, whole genome shotgun sequence.
CAGGCCCUGAAUGAAGACCACUGGUUUGGUGUAACCGUUGGUUUCAAGCAGGAGCCCAGAGGAAACAUCUCCUGGUCUGUUGGGUGUUCCCAUCCCUGUGGAACAACCAGUUCGUGUGGGAGUGACACCC